rnacentral:ncRNA from 1 species
GUGGCACCCUCUGGAGAUUCCAGCGGUCCACACCCGCCGAUGGGGAAAGGCGCUCGGACAGCACCCGGCGCCGAAUCUCUCAGGCGCCCGGGCGAACGGGUGAAGACAGAGGGAGGGGG